rnacentral:misc_RNA from 1 species
GAUGAAGAACGUAGCGAAAUGCGAUAAGUAGUGUGAAUUGCAGAAUUCCGUGAACCAUCGAGUCUUUGAACGCAAGUUGCGCCGGAAGCCAGUAGGCCGAGGGCACGCCUGCCUGGGCGUCACACGUCGUUGCCCCCCCCAUCUACUCCUUCGGGAUUGCGGGGGGCGGAUGAUGGCCUCCCGUGUGCCUCGCCGCGCGGUUGGCAUAAAUACCAAGUCCUCGGCGACGCACGCCACGACAAUCGGUGGUUGCGAAACCUCGGUUGCCCGUCGUGUGCGGUCGUCGAGCAUCGAGGGCUCGAAAAAAUUGCCGGGUUCCGGCUCGGCUUUCAACGCGACCCCAGGUCAGGCGGGGUUACCCGCUGAAUUUAAGCAUAUCAAUAAGCGGAGGA